rnacentral:rRNA from 1 species
GAUGAACGCUGGCGGCGUGCCUAAUACAUGCAAGUCGAGCGAACGGACGAGAAGCUUGCUUCUCUGAUGUUAGCGGCGGACGGGUGAGUAACACGUGGAUAACCUACCUAUAAGACUGGGAUAACUUCGGGAAACCGGAGCUAAUACCGGAUAAUAUUUUGAACCGCAUGGUUCAAAAGUGAAAGACGGCCUUGCUGUCACUUAUAGAUGGAUCCGCGCUGCAUUAGCUAGUUGGUAAGGUAACGGCUUACCAAGGCAACGAUGCAUAGCCGACCUGAGAGGGUGAUCGGCCACACUGGAACUGAGACACGGUCCAGACUCCUACGGGAGGCAGCAGUAGGGAAUCUUCCGCAAUGGGCGAAAGCCUGACGGAGCAACGCCGCGUGAGUGAUGAAGGUCUUCGGAUCGUAAAACUCUGUUAUUAGGGAAGAACAUAUGUGUAAGUAACUGUGCACAUCUUGACGGUACCUAAUCAGAAAGGCACGGCUAACUACGUG